rnacentral:tRNA from 1 species
UCCGGCGUAGUUCAACGGCUUAGAAUAAAUGUUAUGAAAACAUGAGAUGCAGGUUCGAAUCCUGACGCCGGAA